UACAGAGGGUGCAAGCGUUAAUCGGAUUUACUGGGCGUAAAGCGCGCGUAGGCGGCUAAUUAAGUCAAAUGUGAAAUCCCCGAGCUUAACUUGGGAAUUGCAUUCGAUACUGGUUAGCUAGAGUGUGGGAGAGGAUGGUAGAAUUCCAGGUGUAGCGGUGAAAUGCGUAGAGAUCUGGAGGAAUACCGAUGGCGAAGGCAGCCAUCUGGCCUAACACUGACGCUGAGGUGCGAAAGCAUGGGGAGCAAACAGGAUUAGAUGCCCUGGUAGUCCAUGCCGUAAACGAUGUCUACUAGCCGUUGGGGCCUUUGAGGCUUUAGUGGCGCAGCUAACGCGAUAAGUAGACCGCCUGGGGAGUACGGUCGCAAGACUAAA
rnacentral:rRNA from 1 species